rnacentral:rRNA from 1 species
GGGUUGUGAGGUUAAGCGACUAAGCGUACACGGUGGAUGCCCUGGCAGUCAGAGGCGAUGAAGGACGUGCUAAUCUGCGAUAAGCGUCGGUAAGGUGAUAUGAACCGUUAUAACCGGCGAUUUCCGAAUGGGGAAACCCAGUGUGAUUCGUCACACUAUCAUUAACUGAAUCCAUAAGUUAAUGAGGCGAACCGGGGGAACUGAAACAUCUAAGUACCCCGAGGAAAAGAAAUCAACCGAGAUUCCCCCAGUAGCGGCGAGCGAACGGGGAGCAGCCCAGAGCCUGAAUCAGUGUGUGUGUUAGUGGAAGCGUCUGGAAAGGCGCGCGAUACAGGGUGACAGCCCCGUACACAAAAAUGCACAUGCUGUGAGCUCGAUGAGUAGGGCGGGACACGUGGUAUCCUGUCUGAAUAUGGGGGGACCAUCCUCCAAGGCUAAAUACUCCUGACUGACCGAUAGUGAACCAGUACCGUGAG